rnacentral:rRNA from 1 species
UACAGAGGUCUCAAGCGUUGUUCGGAUUCAUUGGGCGUAAAGGGUGCGUAGGCGGCGCGGUAAGUCGGGUGUGGAAUCUCGGAGCUUAACUCCGAAACUGCAUUCGAUACUGCCGUGCUUGAGGACUGGAGAGGAGACUGGAAUUUACGGUGUAGCGGUGAAAUGCGUAGAUAUCGUAAGGAAGACCAGUGGCGAAGGCGGGUCUCUGGACAGUUACUGACGCUGAGGCACGAAGGCCAGGGGAGCAAACGGG